rnacentral:rRNA from 1 species
CGGGUGAGUAACGCGUGGAGAACCUGCCGUAUACUGGGGGAUAACACUUAGAAAUAGGUGCUAAUACCGCAUAAGCGCACAGCUUCGCAUGAAGCAGUGUGAAAAACUCCGGUGGUAUACGAUGGAUCCGCGUCUGAUUAGCUGGUUGGUGGGGUAAAGGCCCACCAAGGCGACGAUCAGUAGCCGGCCUGAGAGGGUGAACGGCCACAUUGGGACUGAGACACGGCCCAAACUCCUACGGAAGGCAGCAG